UACGUAUGGAGCGAGCGUUGUCCGGAAUUAUUGGGCGUAAAGGGUACGCAGGCGGUUUAAUAAGUCGAAUGUUGAAGAUCGGGGCUCAACCCCGUAAAGCAUUGGAAACUGAUAAACUUGAGUAGUGGAGAGGAAAGUGGAAUUCCUAGUGUAGUGGUGAAAUACGUAGAUAUUAGGAGGAAUACCAGUAGCGAAGGCGACUUUCUGGACACAAACUGACGCUGAGGUACGGAAGCGUGGGGAGCAAACAGGAUUAGAAACCCCGGUAGUCC
rnacentral:rRNA from 1 species